CCCUUAGAUGUCCUGGGCUGCACGCGCGCUACACUGAUGUGUCCAGUAAGCACCUAACCUCUUCCGAAAGGAACGGGUAACCUUUGCAAAGCACAUCGAGAUGGGGAUAGAUUAUUGCAAUUAUUAGUCUUGAACGAGGAAUUCCUAGUAAGCACAAGUCAUCAGCUUGUGUUGAUUACGUCCCUGCCCUUUGUACACACCGCCCGUCGCUCCUACCGAUUGAAUGUUCCGGUGAGCUCUUCGGACUGCGCGGUCUGCAGUUUCUGCGUUCCGUGCGGAAAGUUGCGCAAACCUUAACAUUUAGAGGAAGGAGAAGUCGUAACA
rnacentral:rRNA from 1 species